rnacentral:rRNA from 1 species
AAAGCUUGCUUUCUUGCUGACGAGUGGCGGACGGGUGAGUAAUGCUUGGGAAUCUGGCUUAUGGAGGGGGAUAACAACGGGAAACUGUUGCUAAUACCGCGUAAUAUCGAAAGAUUAAAGUGUGGGACCGUAAGGCCACAUGCCAUGGGAUGAGCCCAAGUGGGAUUAGGUAGUUGGUGGGGUAAAGGCCUACCAAGCCGUCGAUCUCUAGCUGGUCUGAGAGGAUGGCCAGCCACACUGGAACUGAGACACGGUCCAGACUCCUACGGGAGGCAGCAGUGGGGAAUAUUGCGCAAUGGGGGCAACCCUGACGCAGCCAUGCCGCGUGAAUGAAGAAGGCCUUCGGGUUGUAAAGUUCUUUCGGUGACGAGGAAGGCAGUUGGUUUAAUAGACUAAUUGAUUGACGUUAAUCACAGAAGAAGCACCGGCUAACUCCGUGCCAGCAGCCGCGGUAAUACGGAGGGUGCGAGCGUUAAUCGGAAUAACUGGGCGUAAAGGGCACGCAGGCGGAUUUUUAAGUGAGAUGUGAAAGCCCCGGGCUUAACCUGGGAACUGCAUUUCAGACUGGGAAUCUAGAGUACUUUAGGGAGGGGUAGAAUUCCACGUGUAGCGGUGAAAUGCGUAGAGAUGUGGAGGAAUACCGAAGGCGAAGGCAGCCCCUUGGGAAUGUACUGACGCUCAUGUGCGAAAGCGUGGGGAGCAAACAGGAUUAGAUACCCUGGUAGUCCACGCUGUAAACGCUGUCGAUUUGGGGAUUGAGCUUUAAGCUUGGUGCCCGUAGCUAACGUGAUAAAUCGACCGCCUGGGGAGUACGGCCGCAAGGUUAAAACUCAAAUGAAUUGACGGGGCCCGCACAAGCGGUGGAGCAUGUGGUUUAAUUC